GAUUAUCGUUUACUGGACGGUGUUUUGGUGGGGGCAUGCCUCAUUGGUGAGAUCCAGUGCCAAGACUUUACUGACUGAGAUACCCCAUCUGUAGAAGCGGCAUUUGCCCAACUGGGGCAUGGAGGAUCUUUACUAUAAAGCCACACUGGCUGAUACUUAAACCACUUUUUUCUCAAUGCCCAGGUUGCAGACCACUUUAGAGGCCUCCUGUGUAGCAAUUACUCUGGGCCACCAGCCACGCUGCAUUUCCUACUUCGUCUCUUCUGCCUCUGGUCUCUCCCCCAGAGAGGGUUUGAUAUUUAGGUGUUUUUCUUUUCUCUCCCAGUCCCCUUAUGUUUCUGGGUCGUUGGGGUGGGCUACCUCGUUUUGUGGUUCACGGUGUGAUGUAUAAGCUCGGGCUCCAGCCCCAGCCUUGGCCUCAAGCUGUGUGCGUGUCAGCUAGCUGUGGUCAAUGAACCUGAGCAGAAUGUGCCCAUGUGUGGUGAAGGCCCCAGCAUCCACUGGAUGUUAGCUGUGCACAUUUGAUCAGAAGCAAGAUCAAGUUCUUGACAGAAAUACGUGUACUAGUACUUGGUACCACUUUACAGGAUCGUCAGAGUCCUACUCCAAUAUUUGGAUCCCAAAUGACAGAUUUAAUGGCCUUCAUUAACACCCCGAUGAUGUAGGCUUAAUUUUACGGUUCACCUGUUCUUGCUGUUUACUUUCCUGAGCUUCAGCCAAGCCGAAGAAACUGUGUGAAAACAGAAUCUCGUUGUCCAUGAAAGAAAACACCACCUUCCUUAGUAGAAAGGAAA